UAUCGCAGUAGAGAAGAAUUUGUGAAACUUCGUGGCUCCAAAGCAACCUCGGAUUUUGCGAGACGAACGAAUAUUCUAUUCAACUGCUUAAAUUCCAAGAGGCCACAAGAUCUGCAGUAUAAUGAAGCAGAACACAUUGCUACACUGAAGGAGAUCAUCGAGUGGCUUGACAGGUGGCACACUCACAACCAGAGUUUACCAAAGCAAAAGCAACUUUUCUUUCUGAGCAAGCCAACAUGCAAUGCUCUGAGAAUGACUUUGCACAGCACAGUGACGCUUGUUGAAAAGCUGCUGAAAUGUGGCUUUUGCUACGUUUUAGUUGGAAACUUUGGACAAGACCACCUCGAGAGGUUUUUUGGCAUAGCAAGGCAUGUUGCUGGAGCAGGGGGACAGCCUACGGUUCAGCGAUUUUUGUUCAUUUACCGGUUGCUCUCGGUGAACAACUUGAUCCGUCCGCCACAGCGAGCCUCAGUUGAAGGGGAUGGUCCACGUCUCCUUUUAAAUAUGCAGGAUCUCUUUCAACAUAAAGAACCUACUGUUAAUCAGGUAAACAUUUUAAUAGCACACCAACGCUGCUCGUAGGGUGUCUCUCCAUCGUAUGGAAAUGUGCUGAAUGUUGUCUAGCCCUUUGAUGCUAAUGACAUGCACGUCUGGUCGUAUGAUAUACAACGAGCUUCUAUUCUGCUUUUUCACUUUUCAAAUUUCUCACUCUUGCCAUUGUGGUAUGAAAAAAUAUUUACGUUUCAGAUUGAUAC